rnacentral:misc_RNA from 1 species
AAGUCGUAACAAGGUCUCCGUAGGUGAACCUGCGGAGGGAUCAUUACUGAGUUAGGGAGCAAUCCCGACCCUCCAACCCUUUUGUGAACGCAUCAUGUUGCUUGGGGGGUGACACUGUCAUAUUCCUCGGGAUAUGUCUGGCCCCCUCCGGCCAUCAAAACACUGCAUUCUUACGUCGGAGUAAAAAGUUAAUUUAAUAAAA